rnacentral:misc_RNA from 1 species
AGUUGUGGGGGUGCAUGUAKGCAUGAUCCUAGUGAUGCAAUACGUUAUAGCGUGUGAGUGGUAUUUGGUUUGUGUGGUUGGCGGGCUCUCUGCUUGUGCAUUGAACCGUUCACUAGCAUACCUCUUCAUUGUUUGCUCCAAGUGCAUCAUGUGCCUUGGGUGACGUGUGGUCCCUUUGUUGAAUUCCUAAUGACGGUAUUGAUGUUGUCCCUUAAAAWAKUGAUUUUCSCUKUACAUCCGUAAAGGGAGGUCGAGCGGACAGUGAAACUUGGUUYGUAAUCCACCCGUCAAGCGAAAACAAGCACGAUAGGACAGGAUUACRAUCUCAAGUUGGGCCCUUGGAUGCAGAACGUUGUGUGGGUGUUGAUGUUAAAUCGUCGYACACCCAAAGCGUUGUACGCUSACGAUGGAUGACAUUCGAGUGCGAGGUGACCCUUUCUUGAUUUAAAGGGCUCAUGCGUGCCGAUGUCUACCGAGGAGUGCUACCUGGUUGAUCCUG